rnacentral:pre_miRNA from 17 species
GUGAGAGCGAGGCAGUUAAGACUUGCAGUGAUGUUUAGUUAAAAUCUUUUCAUGAACAUCACUUUAAGUCUGUACUGCUUCUCCCUCUUUU